rnacentral:rRNA from 1 species
UGGGGAAUUUUGGACAAUGGGCGCAAGCCUGAUCCAGCCAUGCCGCGUGCGGGAAGAAGGCCUUCGGGUUGUAAACCGCUUUUGUCAGGGAAGAAAUCUUCUGAGUUAAUACCUCGGGAGGAUGACGGUACCUGAAGGAUAAGCACCGGCUAACUACGUGCCAGCAGCCGCGGUAAUACGUAGGGUGCAAGCGUUAAUCGGAAUUACUGGGCGUAAAGCGUGCGCAGGCGGUUUUGUAAGACAGAGGUGAAAUCCCCGGGCUCAACCUGGGAACUGCCUUUGUGACUGCAGGGCUUGAGUGCGGCAGAGGGGGAUGGAAUUCCGCGUGUAGCAGUGAAAUGCGUAGAUAUGCGGAGGAACACCGAUGGCGAAGGCAAUCCCCCGGGCCUGCACUGACGCUCAUGCACGAAAGCGUGGGGAGCAAACAGGAUUAGAUACCCUGGCAGUCCACGCCCCUAAACGAUGUCAACUGGGUUGUUGGGGAAAGGUUUCCUUCUCAGUAACGUACUAACGCGUGAAGUUGACCGCCUGGGGAGUACGGCCGCAAGGUUGAAACUAAAUAAUUGACGGGGUCAUAGCUGUUUCCU